UACGUAGGUGGCAAGCGUUGUCCGGAUUUAUUGGGCGUAAAGAGCGUGUAGGCGGCCAGACAGGUCCGUUGUGAAAACUCGAGGCUCAACCUCGAGACGUCGAUGGAAACCGUCUGGCUAGAGUCCGGAAGAGGAGUGUGGAAUUCCUGGUGUAGCGGUGAAAUGCGCAGAUAUCAGGAAGAACACCUAUGGCGAAGGCAGCACUCUGGGACGGUACUGACGCUGAGACGCGAAAGCGUGGGGAGCGAACAGG
rnacentral:rRNA from 1 species